rnacentral:rRNA from 1 species
UACAGAGGUCCCAAGCGUUGUUCGGAUUCACUGGGCGUAAAGGGUGCGUAGGUGGUUGGGUAAGUCUGAUGUGAAAUCUCUGAGCUCAACUCAGAAACUGCAUUGGAUACUAUCCGGCUAGAGAAUCGGAGGGGGGACUGGAAUACUUGGUGUAGCAGUGAAAUGCGUAGAUAUCAAGUGGAACACCAGUGGCGAAGGCGAGUCCCUGGGCGAUUUCUGACACUGAGGCACGAAAGCUAGGGGAGCAAAC